UGUAUCACGACAGUGCAGGAACAAUCCUGACUGAGAGUGGCGAACAAGGGAGUAAUACACUAGAACGUGCCCAAUCGUGGGGGAUCACGGAGUGAAACUGUGAUUAUACCGCAUUCGAUUUACGGAUGAAAGCAGAGGGUCGCAAGACCUGGGCCAAUGGAGCGACCGUAGGUAGAUUAAGUAGGUGGUUGGGAAAAGGCUCCCCAAGCCUGGGGUUUGUAGUUGGUUUGGGAGGGAGACCACCCCCCCGGGGACUUGGACCCGGCCCAGACUCCUACGGGGGGCACCCGGUGGGGAUUAUUGGCAAAUGGGGCAAGCCAUGUUCAGCCAUGCCGGGUGCAGGAAGAAAGCUUUUGGGUUGUAAAAAGCUUUUAAGCGGAGCGAAACAGCCUUUUAUUAUAAAGAUGGAUAAUAAGUUACCCGUCGAAUAACCCCGGCUAAAUUACUUGCAGAGGGGGCGUUAUAGAGAGGGCCAAGGGUUAUUCGGAAUUAUUGGGGGUAAGGCGUGGGCAGGCGUUUAUGUAAGACAGAUGUGAAAUCCCCGGGCUCAACUUGGGAACUGCAUUUGAAACUGCAUAGCUAGAGGACUGUAGAGGGGGGGGGAAUUCCGCGUGUAGCAGGAAAUGCGUAGAUAUACGGAGGAACACCGAUGCGAAGGCGGUCCCCUUGACCGGUACGAGGUUGAUGGGAAAGGCGGGGAGGAAUUUC
rnacentral:rRNA from 1 species